UACGGAGGGUGCAAGCGUUGCUCGGAAUUAUUGGGCGUAAAGGGCAGGUAGGUGGUCUUAUUUGUCUGGGGUGAAAUCCUUGAGCUUAACUCAAGAAGUGCCCUAGAAACGGUAAGACUAGAGUCUUGGAGAGGGUCGUGGAAUUCCCGGUGUAGCGGUGAAAUGCGUAGAGAUCGGGAGGAACACCAGAGGCGAAGGCGGCGACCUGGACAAGAACUGACACUCAACUGCGAAAGCGUGGGGAGCAAACAGG
rnacentral:rRNA from 1 species